CAUGCGCCUGCCUGCCACCCACCAUACGUAUUAACUUUUGUCAAAUACGUACUACUAAAUCGGUUGUCAGAUCUGGAUGCGCCUUAUCUUCUCGCUGCUGCCUGGAUCCAACAAGGGAAACCCUAGCCUAGCCUAGCCGCCUCUCUCUCCUGCUCCUCUCCUCAGAUCUCCGGCCUCCUCCUUCCAACUGCCUGCCACCACGGAAGGAUCGAUCGAUGGCCUCACCCUUCCUUCCUUGCAACCAACCCCCUGCCACCGUGCACCCUUCUCCCAUGGCGAUGGCGAUGGCGAUGGCUAGAGAGAUGGAUCUAGGCAUCUGGCCCCGCCAGAUCGAGGCGCAGGCCCGCUGGCCGGACGGCGGCAACGUACCUCCCCUCCAUGUCCAGAUGGGAAACAGCACGGUCAAGGUACGGUGGCUCCCGGAGACUCUCACGGCGGCCGGGCCGGGCUCCCCCAGCUAGCGCUUGUUCGUCUCAUGGGUGGGCGUGGUUCUAUCAGAGAGAUUGGUGCACUUUGAAAUCGUCCAUUUGCUUGUGGGGUUUAUUUACUUUUUAAGUAUGUGCUCAUCUUUUGGGGAUGUGUGCACAUGGCCCAAGCUGUCCACUCGAAAUGAAUGAAUGGAGGCUGUCCACUCCUUCUCUAUCUCUCUAGACAGAUAGAUCCAUGGACAUCUUUUUCUUGUUCAGUUUCCUUUGCUGUACGUGUAUUCAUUCAGUUCUUCAGGUUUGAUGUUGGCCUGUUCUGAUAUGAUGUUGCUAUCUAUAAAACAAUUGUUUGUUCAGGCACGUAGCCGCCCUGCUUUGCUCGUGACAGGCGGGCUGCUGCUGCAUUUGACUUCUUGCUUGUGAAGGUGCCUAGAUCCUGAUGCAUAGUCAACUCUCGGUAAUCGUUCUAUUGUCAAUUCCUCUCUUUUUCCCCUACUCUGUCAUGAUAGUUUCUCAUCCAAAAAAUAUAAAAAAGUACCUGAGAUAUAGAAUUUAUUUUAAACCUUUAACUUUUUUCAUGUUGUUUUGGUCUGACUAGACAGUUUACUGAUAUUAUUUGUUUCUAUCUAUUAAAUUUUGCCAAACUGCUGAGGUCUCAAAAUGUAUGUGAAAGAAGAGAUGCUUGAGGAGGGAGUAAUUAGUUAGCAUUUGUUUUAGUUAGUGAAUGAAAGGGCAGAUGCUCUCAUGCUCAUGAGAGAGUGUAGGGCCUUCUAUUUGAUUUUUGGUACUCCCUCCGAUCCAUAUUAGUUAUUGUUCAAAUGGAUGUAUCUAGCAGUAGAUACAUGCGUUUGAGCGACAGGUCAUAUGGAUCGGAGGGAGUAGUAUUUUUGUGUUUCUACCAAGUAAUAAGAUCUUGAUUUUUAUAUUCUAGUGGAACAAAAACACAAUAAUUUACCAAAAUUUAUGUGCCUUUUCAUGCUGCAGGCUAUCAUAUUUGUGCUUCUUUUUUUCAAUUUCCUUGUUGUACAUAUAUGCAUGUUUAUUGGCAUCUUGUUGGAUUCCUUGGCUCAUAGGGAAGCCGUUGGAGUAUGAAACAUUUCUUUGGGAUAUGUGAUUAAGUAGCCCCAUGGAAGAACUCGAACAGAGGAAAAAAAAUCUGGUGUGUCCAUUCCGUUGCUCAUCCUUCGGGGAUGCGCAAUGGAAGUUGUUCACGUGCUCUAGUGGGGUAGCAGCUUAGACACACACACACACACACUCUGUACAUCCAUGGAGAUUUCUCACACAGAGGCAACAGUUUUGCAAUUUCCUUAUUGUACAUGUGUGUGUGUGUGUGUGUUCAUCAGGACCUUGGAUUAUGAUAUGAUCUACCCCUUUCCAUGUCCAGGUAUAUGUAGGCGACCUGCAACUCCGCGAAAUGAAUUUGCUAGUGCCACAACAUAUGAUGUCUUGUGUCUUAUGACCCAUGGGCUCUAGGUAAUCGUUUUAUGUUACCCUCCUGCCUACUACUGCUAUCCUUCUCAAGAGAAAGACAAUUAUUUCUACAAACAAGGAUAAGCACAAAUCAACUAACCCAGCUGCCGGGUUGUAGAAAUAAACCAAAAAUACCCAGUCAAACAAAUGGUCUAGAUGCAUCUCUGCUAGGGGAGUGCAGCUUUACCCGAGCCAGUGCUUAAUCUUGAUUUUAGACUGCUGGUCACUGUAAGUUGACUUUUUGAACCACAUCCCUUGGCAUCAAGUUAGUAACGAAAUCAUACACAUCCCAAUACUAAUGAAAUUAAUUUAACGCUAAAGCUUUCACCAACAUUCUGCAAUUAAUAAUUAGGAACAUUUCACCCCAAAUGGACCAUGACUUACUAGCACUCGGUCUACGUUCUCGUAUGUAUAGCAAACAUGCUCAAAAUUUCUUUAACAGUUUAUGAAUAGUUUUGAAUGAAGACUUUUUAUUCAACUCAUUCAGCAUCUUUGAGCGUUCAUCUGCAUGUUAUACCUGCUUCCUGCAAGCACCAGAAAGAAAGGCAGUAAGUUAUGCUACUUCAUUUAUGUUCUCUUCUCACAUUGUGCGCCAGAUGUGGAUGAUGAUGUGCAGCACAAGGUAAAAUAAGAUGAAAUGAUCAAACAGGUUACACUGAUUCCAUCAUUGUUGAACCCAGCUUAACAAAAUGCAUUCUCAGAAGCUUGUUUGUGCCUGGCACUCCCUGGAUAAUGUCAGCUAAUAAACUUGUUUAUCUCUGUUUGGGGGUACAAAAUUAAUUUCUGCUCUUCAUUUUGAAAAGUCAAACACUACUGUAGUUGUACCUCAGUUAAUAGAGAGCUCAAAAAAGCAAGAGUAUGCCGUCAAUAGCACCAUUUUAGCAAAUAGGCAUCUGUCCUUAACUAGUUUGUACUAAAUAUGAAGCAUGCUUCACAUCAAAUUGGUAGUCAGCUUCACAACAUUAUUAAAUAUAUUAGCAUGGUCGAGCAGUUUCACAAAGCUAAGCUUCACAACAUUAUUGGAUAUAUUUUGGUUUAUAUAUUUUGGACGGAGGGAGUAGUAUGUUAGUAUGCAAUUCCACAUAGUGAAAGUGUAGAUAAAUAAACAUGUUUGGUGCACAAAUUUAGUUUCUCUUGUUCAUUUUGAAAGCCAAUCACUAGUAUUAUUCCUAGCUAGGACAUUCAGUUGAUAGAAGGCUAAAAAACAAGUAUUUUUUUGUUUCAGCUGCACCAGUUUAGCAAAGAAGAGGAGGUACAAGCCAUGUAUGUUUGGCUUUACCUUGAUGGUGUGUUCACAAAUGCUUCCCUGAAAGGUGUUUGAUUAACAAGUGACGCUCCGUUCUGCAGAGGUGCAAGCAAAGCAAUUUUGAUAUCAGAGAUGAAAAUGUAGGUGUAGAGAUGGUUGUAAUUUAGGUUGCACUCACAUGGAUGUUAUUCAUAACAGACAGGAGGUGCUAUUUAUGUCAAAAUAAAUCACAGAUUGAUUUUUCCUAGUGUAUAAAACCUGGAACAGAAUGACAGGGCUAAGCUACCUGUGAAUCUCGAUGUGGGACUCACGGUCUUUGGCAAGCACAUUUUCGUUGCAGAGGUCGCACUCGAUCCUGAUUUCA